UACGUAGGGAGCAAGCGUUGUCCGGAAUCAUUGGGCGUAAAGCGCGCGUAGGUGGCCUCGUAAGUCCGCUGUGAAAGUCAAAGGCUCAACCUUUGAAAGCCGGUGGAUACUGUGAGGCUAGAGUACGGAAGAGGCAAGUGGAAUUCCUGGUGUAGCGGUGGAAUGCGCAGAUAUCAGGAGGAACACCAAUAGCGAAGGCAGCUCGCUGGGACGUUACUGACACUGAGGCGCGAAAGCGUGGGGAGCGAACAGG
rnacentral:rRNA from 1 species